GGCCGGACUGGAAACCACUUGAAGUACUCGAGGGUCUAAACACAUUAUUUCACCCACAGCAAUAGCACCAACAAAAUAACAAAUACCAAUAUUGCCCUUGGUAGCACAGCCACCGUAACACCACCGGCCGGAAAAUAUCUUCAUCGGCCUCCGAUCGUCAUGCCUCUUAUGGUAAUCGAUUGAUUCCGAUCUUCUUCAAUUCUCAAUCUAACGUCUGAACUUUGUCUACAACAGCGUUUAUUCUCCGAUCUCCGAUCAUCGUCUCCGACGCCGCCUGCAGCUACAGGGCUGUAAACCAAAAAAGAGAUCAAGUCACCAAACAAUGGAAGAAUGGGGUACAAAGCCGAUAAGAAGAAUCCCUACCUUGGUUGAUCUUUGUGUUCAAAAAGCUAUAGAUAAUGUUAGGUAUUUAGGUGAUGUGGGAGAGACGGACCCGUAUCUUUUAGACCUGUUUUUACCGCAUUGUACUGUAGAACAGUUGACGCAUAUUGAGGAUUCAACCGUGGACCGGGAUUUAAGCCCAGUUACUAAUAAGCUGUGGAAGAACUUUUACACGCAACAGUUUGGCUCUAAGAGCACCAAUGUUGUAGUUGAAAGAAUGAAAGAAAAGAGAGUUUCGUUUAAAUGGAGACAAUUGUAUGAGGCAAAGUUAAAGGACGUGGAGGAGGCUCAACAGAAAUCAUUUGAACGAAUAAAGCAAUUGUAUAAAAAAGAAGAUGCCAAUGAUGAAAGUGAGAAACGGGAUACCAAUAAAUAAAGUGAUCAUUUAACGGAUUCGAUUUUUAUCUGUUAAGAAGAUAAGGAAGAUGAAGUUGUUCAUAAUCCCAUCAUGAAUGAAGACAAGACUCUGAGGUCACUAGUGAUGAUGAUAUUCACGGCUCAAAAAAAAUUAAGUUAUUUGAAAUUUCAGUUGUGAUAUCUUUAUAUCCGUAGGGUAAUUUAGGAAUGAAAUUUAACUUUCUCUAUGAAUAUGAUUUCUGUUAUAUAUGUUGUAUAUAUUGUUAUCUUACGUUAAUCGUUCUUAUGUUAUGACAGAGAAACAAAGUCGGCAAGUUCAACUGUGCACCAAGGUGCCUCCCUCCAGCAGCUAUAAAAGGAGCUUCUUUGGAGGCCCCGGUAGCAGCGGCAAUACAAAGAGUGGCAUAAUGAAGAAGGCCAAACAAGAAUUUCUUAACAGCCGAGAGGUCCAAAACCGAUCUGCUAUGAAGAAGGUUACGGUGCAUAACAAUCGCAGUACACCAACAGCAAGGAGACCAAUUCAUUCGAACCCGUCUAUAAGGAAACCAACUCAUUUACCUGGAAAAUCUGCUGCCUCUAGUUCCAAAUUUAGCACACCAACAGCAAGGAGAUUCUGAAAAGCGUAUACAAGUCGCGUAAAAAAUGAUUUAAACGUUCAAAAGUCAGUGUUUGUUUCUCUAUUUACUUAAUACACCCAGUUUUCUUUACUAGUGUUGUACCAACCAAUAUGUUUGAUAAUCUGUAUCCCAAAAGUAUUCAGUUUGACAUGCAUAUCAUUCAAUUUCAAUUUUUUAA